rnacentral:rRNA from 1 species
GCAAGUCGAACGGGAAAUACUUUAUUGAAGCUUCGGCCGAUUUAAUUUAUUGGUAGUGGCGGACGGGUGAGUAACGCGUGGGUAACCUGCCUUAUACUGGGGGAUAACAGCCAGAAAUGACUGCUAAUACCGCAUAAGCGCACAGAACCGCAUGGUUCCGUGUGAAAAACUCCGGUGGUAUAAGAUGGACCCGCGUUGGAUUAGCUAGUUGGCAGGGCAGCGGCCUACCAAGGCGACGAUCCAUAGCCGGCCUGAGAGGGUGAACGGCCACAUUGGGACUGAGACACGGCCCAGACUCCUACGGGAGGCAGCAGUGGGGAAUAUUGCACAAUGGGGGAAACCCUGAUGCAGCGACGCCGCGUGAAGGAAGAAGUAUCUCGGUAUGUAAACUUCUAUCAGCAGGGAAGAUAAUGACGGUACCUGACUAAGAAGCCCCGGCUAACUACGUGCCAGCAGCCGCGGUAAUACGUAGGGGGCAAGCGUUAUCCGGAUUUACUGGGUGUAAAGGGAGCGUAGACGGCGCAGCAAGUCUGAUGUGAAAGGCAGGGGCUUAACCCCUGGACUGCAUUGGAAACUGCUGUGCUUGAGUGCCGGAGGGGUAAGCGGAAUUCCUAGUGUAGCGGUGAAAUGCGUAGAUAUUAGGAGGAACACCAGUGGCGAAGGCGGCUUACUGGACGGUAACUGACGU